rnacentral:rRNA from 1 species
CCUACGGGGGGCAGCAGUGAGGAAUAUUGGUCAAUGGGCGGAAGCCUGAACCAGCCAAGUCGCGUGAGGGAAUAAGGCCCUACGGGUUGUAAACUGCUUUUAUACGGGAAUAACGCGCCUUACGUGUAGGGCUUUGCAUGUACCGUAUGAAUAAGGACCGGCUAAUUCCGUGCCAGCAGCCGCGGUAAUACGGAAGGUCCGGGCGUUAUCCGGAUUUAUUGGGGUUAAAGGGAGCGUAGGCCGCAUGUCAAGCGUGCUGUGAAAUGUCCGGGCUCAACCCGGGCCUUGCAGCGCGAACUGGCGUGCUGGCGUCCGCGGAAAGCAGGCGGAAUUCGUCGUGUAGCGGUGAAAUGCUUAGAUAUGACGAAGAACCCCGAUUGCGCAGGCAGCUUGCUGCAGCGGAACUGACGCUGAUGCUCGAAAGCGCGGGUAUCGAACAGGAUUAGAUACCCCAGUAGUC